rnacentral:misc_RNA from 1 species
UAAUCCUGGUACUGGGGAGGUGGAAGCA